rnacentral:snRNA from 1 species
AGCUUUGCGCAGUGGCAGUAUCGUAGCCAAUGAGGUUUAUCCGAGGCGCGAUUAUUGCUAAUUGGAUUCUGGUCUCAGUUAU